rnacentral:rRNA from 1 species
AGUGAACGCUGGCGGUAGGCCUAACACAUGCAAGUCGAACGGCAGCACAGUAAGAGCUUGCUCUUACGGGUGGCGAGUGGCGGACGGGUGAGGAAUACAUCGGAAUCUACUUUUUCGUGGGGGAUAACGUAGGGAAACUGAUGCUAAUACCGCAUACGACCUACGGGUGAAAGCAGGGGAUCUUCGGACCUUGCGCGACUGAAUGAGCCGAUGUCGGAUUAGCUAGUUGGCGGGGUAAAGGCCCACCAAGGCGACGAUCCGUAGCUGGUCUGAGAGGAUGAUCAGCCACACUGGAACUGAGACACGGUCCAGACUCCUACGGGAGGCAGCAGUGGGGAAUCUUCGACAAUGGGCGCAAGCCUGAUCCAGCCAUGCCGCGUGGGUGAAGAAGGCCUUCGGGUUGUAAAGCCCUUUUGUUAGGAAAGAAAAGCUGCAGGUUAAUCCCCCGCUGUUCUGACGGUACCCAAAGAAUAAGCACCGGCUAACUUCGUG